GUUUAUGGCCAAACCUCCUUGUGAAUGACCAGGACCAAUCUGAUCACUGAAGCCAAGCAGGGUUGGGCCUGCUUUGGACUUGGAUGAGAGACCACAGUCUGUGAACC
rnacentral:rRNA from 1 species